GAGGGGCUUUGCUACAUACUAACCAAUUUUGGGUGUUUCUUGUUGAAGGCUAUCACAUCGGCCAAGCUUCUCACUGGGGAAGCAACUAAGUCUCCGAGGUGCAGUUCGAAAGUAUCAUGCAUAAAAGUGUCAUUUCCAAAACCGUAGAAUGUUCUUACAACACCUAAUCUCUUUCCUCUCAGUCCAUCUUUCUUUAGAAAUUGAGCAUAGCCACCUCUUGGGAGAUACUUUGAUGCUUUGAUUGUUGCCUUAUCAUUGACGUCGAUGCCUGCAAUGGUUUCAAGAACAAGAGCAGCAUCUGAUACAGUCCUGCAAAUUGGUCUGUACCAGCCCACAAGAAGUUACACAUUUAAUGCAACAAAAUUAUUUUGACGGGAAAAGUAAUAAUGCUUGCAAAGUGCAAAUAGUUUUGAUAUAAAGAAAAUAGCAAAUUACAUUAAUACUUCUUAAGAAUUUUUCGAAUUACAUAAAAUACUAUUCUUUGUUUAAUGUU